rnacentral:lncRNA from 1 species
GGUUAAAGAAGUUUCUCAAGGUCACAUGACCUAUCAGAGGCACGGCAAGGACUGGAUUCAUUCCUGUUACAAGUAAUGGAUCAGUAAUCCUCAUUUCUCUUAUGAAAAAUGAAUUCCCACAUCAUUUUAUAUUACUCUGAAACCUAUCAGCAUAUAAUAAUGUUCUUUUUUUUCUUGUCCUUUCAAAGAUUGAUUAGUACUAAACUAUGCAGACAUUUGACUCAAAUUCAUAUGAAAGUCCAUGCUCACUUCAACUCACAAUGCUUGCAUUUUUAUUUUCUCUACCAAGGGACCCUUUCAUAAAUGUACCUUAGUAUCUCUUCAUCACCUGUCUCACCUAUUUUCUAGGCCACCUUGUGAAUUUUUCACAGAUUGCACAAUUUUAAGGCUAUAUGACAUACCAACUACAGUUCCACCCAAUUUUUAAGCACCAGGUUUUGGCAGAUGUCUUUGAUUCUCUGUGAAAUAUCUGCUUGGGAAGCAUGAAAGUCAACAAAGUUCUUACGGUAGCAGUGCCAUCAAUAACAGGGUGGCUCUUUUUGAGAAGUACAGACUCUAUUAGGGUCUUGCAUCUCUCACAGGCCCCAUGGAGGUCCUGAAACACAGAGGGGAUGGUUCCUCUCACAGACAGGUCUUCCAAUAGGAAGGGCUAUGGCACUGUACCUCAGGCCAUGCUCCACACUUAAGCCACCAUUACCACUUGCCUUUCCCAAUUAUGCUGCACAGUUAAGCCUUUGCGUAGGCUAUUCCCUCUGCCUGGAUUGCCUUUCUCUCCCACUGGUCCUAGGGACUUGCCAGACACCUCCAUUCACCUUUAUGGGGGUCCUAUAUAAAUACUGGGUGUAAUAAAAGACAGUAGAGCAGCCAGGCAUAUCGAACAGACAUUUCUCAUCUGACUGCCCCUCCCCUCUUUCUUCCCUCUCCUUAGGCUCUGCAUUUACCUCCAUGACAGCCAUUGCUGGCUCCUGGCUUUGUACUAAAUCAAGCCCCUUCUAACUCUGCCUUUUGGUUGCUAUUCAUGUACCAACAUUCCUCAGGUACCAAGUUUCACCCUUCAAAGUUUGGUUUAAAUACCACCACUCCUGCCCCAACCCCAGUGGAAGCUUUCCUUUGUGCCUAACCUUUGGAGGCAGAAUCAGUCACUUCUACAGCUAUUUGUACAUUAGCCAUGAAAGCACUCAUAUUAUUCCUCAGUUCACUGUAUCUUAUGGUUCUGCUGGAAUGUAGGAUUCCAAAGACAGUGGCAGUGUUUUUUUUGUUUUUUUUUUAAUCCAUGCUUUCAUUAUAUAUCUAGGAUAGUACCUAAUGCUCAGUAAAUUCUCGAUACAUAUUUUUGCUUCAAUAAAUAAGUAAAUACUAUAUACUCCUUCUUAAAAGGAUUGUUUGCAUAUUAAUUUAAAAGAGAAAAUAAAAUAAAAAUAUUGACUCCAAAAUAAGGAUGAAUGAAACACUUUCAUAAAAUCUCCCAUUAGAAUUCAUUCAUAAAUUUUGUUUACAUAUUUGAGUUAUCAUAGUCUACAUAGUAAUCUUCCCCCCAGAAAUAAUUUAUUCUAAAGGGCAACAAUUCCUAUCCUCUCAUUGACAAAACUCACGUGAGUCUGUCUUGACUGGUUGUGUGUGUGUGUGUGCACGUGCGUGUGUGCAUGCAUGCAGAUUUGAUGCCAAAUUCAUUAUCUGAAAAAUAUACAUCUCCCUAGAAUUUCAAUUAUUAUCAGUAAUUUUGAGGUGUAUAAGAAAAAAGAGCUUUAUCCUUAGUCUGCUCUGUAUUUUCAAAUGCGGACAUCUGAUAACACCUUACCAGGUUCUGUGAGGUCUUUGCAGAACUUCAAUUUUCUCAGUUUUAUUUUAAUGACAAAAAGCACCACUGCUGGACAGUGAAACAUUAUGAAUACAAGCAAUAUUCAAAUACAGGAAAUCUCUCCAUCCUAAAACAAGUCUCUUUCUCUCUUUUAAAAAAUCAUUCUACAAAUUUGUGUUAAGGUGUUUUAUCUUAAAUUUGAUCUAACCCUAUUCAAAUAAUGGGAAUGCAGUGACAUUAUGGAAAAGGACCACAUAAAAGUAGGUUGGUUCAGAUUUACUUUCCUUGAGAUAUUCAAUUUGGUUUAAAAGAAUUGAAUUCAUUUGCCAUGUUCUCUUUGGGAUGCAUUGUGAGAAGCAUAAUUUAGAACUGCUCUCUCUUUCUCAUGGCCUCCGCCAGACAUAAAGGGGGCUCACAAUGCACGUUUCUGCUAUAAUGAAGGCUCUGUUCUCUCUGCCUCCAUGUGAAUUGCUCCUUCAGACAGAAAGUUAAAAACUAUAAUGAGUCAAAAUUCUCCCAGGGCCCAAACUACUCCUAGGGAGUAAAUUAGGCAUCUUUGGAUGCUUAACUCUUUCAGACACUAAGAUGCAUUUUUUUUUAAAGUUGCCAUGGUUCAAGAAACUUGAUUCCACUGCCACAGUUCUCUAGUUAGCUAAGGAGGGACAGUGAAGUUCCAGAUCUCCUCAGACAAUUUUUUUUUUCAUAUUAAAAUGUCUAGUUCAAAGCAUAUAUCUGGAGAAAACCAUAGUUCAAAAAGAUACAUGCAUUCCAAUGUUCAUUACAGCAUUAUUUACAAUAGCCAAGACAUGGAAGCAAUCUAAAUGUUCAAUGACAGAGGAAUGGAUAAAGAGGAUGUGGUACAUAUAUACAAUGGAAUGUUACUCAGUCAUAAAAAAGAAUGAAAUAAUGCCAUUUACGGCACCACGAAUGGACCUAGAGAUUAUCCUACUGAGUGAAGUAAGUCACACAAAGAAAGACAAACACAUGAGAUCACUAAUAUGUGGAAUCUAACAAAGAAUGAUACAGGGGAUCUUGUUAAUGAAACAGAAUCACACUCAAAAGAUUUAGAAACCAAACUUAUGGCUACCAAGGGAAAAUGGUGGAGGGAGGAAUAAAAUGGGGGGUGGGAUUGAUAUAUACACACUACUAUGUAUGGAAUGGAUGAGUAACAAGGACCUACUGUAUAGCACAGGGAAAUCUACUUAAUAUAGUGUAGUGACCUAUACAGAAAAAGAAUCUGAAAAGGACUAUAAUAAUUUUAAUAAAGUCCAAAAAUCAGACUAUAGCAAAAGCCUCUUGCAAAAAAUAAAAAAUAAAAAAUUUCUUAUCAGUUUUCUCGGUCUACUAUUCUUAAGAUAGAAUAGGAGACGGGGACUUGCUAAAUAGCACACCACUUCCAAAACAAAACAAAAAACUUCACCAAAGCCUGGAUAUGGAUCUGCCAUUAUGGGGGAAUGAAAUAUGGCUUCAUUACAGAAAAAAGGCAGCCUGGCAUGGCCUAGGACACAUGGUAUAUUGGGUACAUGGAGAGUUUCCAUGGCCUAUAAGAAUACAUUCCAUAUAUAGCAAAGGACUAAACAAUAAAAAAUUCAACCCUAAGAUAAUUUUUUUUAUGAAUAGAACUGGAAUUCAACAUACAAUUUUUUUUUUUUUUUUUGCGCCAUUUCUUGGGCCGCUCCCGCGGCAUAUGGAGAUUCAAACAAAGUAAACCACGAUUAUAAAAGAAGAGGAAAUGCUUUUAUCAUUAAUUACACUUGAAAAAUAGCAAGCAACAUGUGGAUGCUUCCAAAAAAAGAUCAACAGAUUUCAAAGCAAAUGGAAAAUGAGGCAUUAAUGUCAGAGAAGAUAAUGCUUAUACAAACAAAUUUUAAGUAUUAACACCACUGCCCAAGAAAAAAUUGCCCCCAUUUACACUUCAAUAGAACUUUAAGGUAUCCUUUGGACAAAUGAUCCCGCCCAGUUCUCAGCCACAAUCCAUGAUCUUAAAGGCAUACCCUAAGUAAAUACACAGACUUGCUGGACAUUUAUAGCGGGUAUUUAGAUAAGCAACAUAUAGAUAUGUUUUUGUCAGGGUGUUUUGAGGCCCAGUUGGCUAUGUGUCUGUCUUCAGGUUGGUGUUCUCCUCUCAAAACCAACAUCUAGGGCUUUUUAUGCUCCAAAUUUGAAACACUGACUUUUAUGACUGUUAAAAAAAAAAGUAAAAAAGAAAAAUUUCAAUUAAAUAAAUUCAGGAGACCAGAAGGGGGAGCUUUCAUGCCCUGUGACUAUAGCAGAGCCCAAAAAGAAGACACUUCUUUCUUGCCAAGGACCCAGCCAAUGAAAAGCCAUGUACUCUUUGUUUACUACAGCCCUGCCAACUUCCUUCUCCCCUCUAUAAAAGAGUUCUCCUUCCCUUGCCCUGAGGGAACUUGCAUGUAGUUUGCCAUAUAUUCAGAAUCCCAAACAGAAAUUUUCUGCUGAUCCCACAUAAAGAUGUCCAUAAACAGCUGAAGUCUAUUUAUUUCCGUUUAAUAUCACUGCUCACAUGUAUGAGUGUCAACAUAAAGAGAAAAUGUCCAUAUAUUAUUCACUUCCAGAAAAGUGUCCAUAUAUUAUCCUUGCCCACAUUUAGAUGUGAACCAGAGAUGCUCCCAUCAAGACACUUAUUCUUCAAUGAUCAUGAGGCAAUGGUUUUAGCCUCAGGAUUAAAAGAAUAUAAAUAAAAUUCUUGAGAAAAAAUCAAACCACAAAACGCUACAGAUGGGGGAAAAAAGAACAUAGAAAUCAUCUAACUCUUCUUCACUUUACAGAUGAGCCCCCAAAGGGCAAAUCAUUUAAUAAAGAUCCUUCUUUCCACUGUGUCAUUUUAUGUCUCCCCUACUGGUGAGUGUGUUUCAUUUCUCAUAUUAUAAGCUGAAAUAGUUUCUGACUUUUGUUUUUUUAAUUUUUAAAAAUUUUAUUGAAGUAUACUUUAUUCACAAUGUUGUGUCACUUUCUGCUGUAAAAAAAAGUGACUCAGCUAUACACACACACACAUACACACACAUCUGUUCUUUUUCAGAUUCUUUUCCCAUAUAGGUUAUCACAGAAUAUUAAGUUCCCUGUGCUAUACAGAAGGGCCCAAUUUGACCAUCCAUUCCAUAUACAGUAGUGUGAAUAUGCCAGUCCCAAACUCCCAAUCCACCCUUCCCCACCACCAUUCCCCCUUGGUAACCCUGAGUUUGUUUCAGUUUUGUAAAUAAGUUCAUUUGUAUUAUUUUUUUAGAUUCCACAUUUGAUACCAUAUGAUACUUGUCUCUCUCUGUCUGACCCACCUUACCCAGCACCAGAGUCUCUGUUCAUCCAUGUUACUGCCAGUUGCAUCAUUUCACUCCCCUUUAUGAUCAAGUAAUAUUCCACUGUAUACAUGUGCCACAUCUUUUUCUAUUCCUGUAUCAAUGGAAAUUUAGGUUGCUUCCAUGUCUUGGCUAUUGUAAAUAGUGCUGCAAUAAACAGUGGGGUGCAUGUAUCUUUUAAAAUUAUGGUAUUUUCCAGAUAGAUGCCUAGGAGUGGGAUUGCUGGAUCACAUGGUAGUUCUAUUUUUAGUUUUUUGAGGAAAUGCCCUACUGUUUUCUGCAGUGGUUGUACCAAUUUAUAUCCCUACCAAUGGUGUGGGAGGGUUCCUUUCUCUCCACACCCUCUCAAGCAUUUAUUGUUUGUAGACUUCUUCUGUUGUUGUGUGUUUUUUUUU